rnacentral:tRNA from 1 species
UACUUAGAUAGCUUAAUAAGAGCAUAGCACUGAAAAUGCUAAGGUGAUAAAUAAUUAUUUUUAAGUAA